rnacentral:rRNA from 1 species
GAGAGCUUGCUCUCUGGGUGGCGAGUGGCGGACGGGUGAGGAAUACAUCGGAAUCUACUCUGUCGUGGGGGAUAACGUAGGGAAACUUACGCUAAUACCGCAUACGACCUACGGGUGAAAGCAGGGGACCUUCGGGCCUUGCGCGAUUGAAUGAGCCGAUGUCGGAUUAGCUAGUUGGCGGGGUAAAGGCCCACCAAGGCGACGAUCCGUAGCUGGUCUGAGAGGAUGAUCAGCCACACUGGAACUGAGACACGGUCCAGACUCCUACGGGAGGCAGCAGUGGGGAAUAUUGGACAAUGGGCGCAAGCCUGAUCCAGCCAUACCGCGUGGGUGAAGAAGGCCUUCGGGUUGUAAAGCCCUUUUGUUGGGAAAGAAAUCCAGCUGGCUAAUACCCGGUUGGGAUGACGGUACCCAAAGAAUAAGCACCGGCUAACUUCGUGCCAGCAGCCGCGGUAAUACGAAGGGUGCAAGCGUUACUCGGAAUUACUGGGCGUAAAGCGUGCGUAGGUGGUCGUUUAAGUCCGUUGUGAAAGCCCUGGGCUCAACCUGGGAACUGCAGUGGAUACUGGGC